GAUGAACGCUGGCGGCGUGCCUAAUACAUGCAAGUCGAGCGAACAGACGAGGAGCUUGCUCCUUUGACGUUAGCGGCGGACGGGUGAGUAACACGUAGGUAACCUACCUAUAAGACUGGGAUAACUUCGGGAAACCGGAGCUAAUACCGGAUAAUAUUUCGAACCGCAUGGUUCGAUAGUGAAAGAUGGCUUUGCUAUCACUUAUAGAUGGACCUGCGCCGUAUUAGCUAGUUGGUAAGGUAACGGCUUACCAAGGCAACGAUACGUAGCCGACCUGAGAGGGUGAUCGGCCACACUGGAACUGAGACACGGUCCAGACUCCUACGGGAGGCAGCAGUAGGGAAUCUUCCGCAAUGGGCGAAAGCCUGACGGAGCAACGCCGCGUGAGUGAUGAAGGUCUUCGGAUCGUAAAACUCUGUUAUUAGGGAAGAACAAACGUGUAAGUAACUGUGCACGUCUUGACAGUACCUAAUCAGAAAGCCACGGCUAACUACGUG
rnacentral:rRNA from 1 species